CAAGGCUACAGGUGGAGAGGGUACAGGUGGCCAAGGCUACCGGUAGCCAAGGUGUAGGUGGCCAAGGCUCCUGGUGGCCAAGGUGUAGAUGGUCAAGGCCACGGGUAGCCAAGGCUACAGGUGGAGGGAGUGUAGGUCGUCAAGGCUACCGGUGGCCACGGUGUAGGUGGCCAAUGUACAGGUAGCCAAGAGUCCAGGUGGCCAAGGUACAGGCGACCAAGGCUCCCGACAGUCGAGGUCCAGGUAGCCCGGGGUCCAGGUGGGGAGGGCUCAGGUGUCUGAGGCUCCAGGUGGCCAAGGUGUAGGUGGCCGAGGGUCCAGGUGGUGACCAAGGUACAGGCAGAGCUACAGGCGGUUGGCCAAGGCUCCGGUUGGCCAAGGGGACCCAGUUGGCCAAGGCUUUAGGUAGCCAAACUACGGGGAGCCAAGGCUACGGUUGGCCAAGGGUACAAUUGGCCAAGGAUCCAGGUAGCCAAGCUGUGGUUGACCAUGGAGACGGUGGCCAAGGGUACAGUUGACCAAGAGUCCAGGUAGUCAAACUCUGGUUGGCCAAGGUUCUGGUUGGCCAAGGCUCCAGGUGACCAAACUCUGAUUGGCCAAGGGUACAGUUGGCCAAGGGUACAUUGGCCAAGGGUCGGGGCAAUCACGGCUCCAGUUGGCCAAGUCUCCUGUUGGCCGACCUCCCAUUGGCCAGUCGAGUCUCCUGUUGGCCAAAACUAUCACUGACCAAGCUCCUGUUGGCCAACCAAGCCUCUCAUUGGCCAAAACUACCAUUGGCCAACCUCCAGUUGACCAAGUCUUCCAUUGACCACCAAGUCUCCCAUUGACCAACCAAGUCUACCAUUGGCUAACAUCUUGUUGGCCAAGUCUUCUGUUGACCAACCAAGUUUCCAGUUGACCGAGUGUCCAGUUGACCAACCAAGUUUCCCGUUGACCAACCAAGUGUCCAGUUGGCUGAGACUCCUAUUGGCCAACCUCCCGUUGACCAACCGAGUCUCAGUUGGCCAACCAAGCCUACCAUUGACCAACCAAGCCUACGGUUGACCAACCAAGGCUCCAACUGACCAACCUGCCGUUGGCCCAAGGCGGCGUUGGGCGGGUCGUGCGGCGCCGCUCUCGCUCCGUGUCUCUCUCUCUCUGUGUCCGUGUCCCCUGGGGCGGGCGCUCCGGGGGUUCCCGGCCGGUUGUGCGUGUGUGUGUGCGUGCGUGUGUGUUCUGGGGCGGGGCGGGGACGCCCGGGGGGGGCGGCCGGGGUUGUAUUAACACUGUUUUAUUGUCACUGCAGCCACCUUUGUGAUGGCUUUUGCCACUGCUGGCUUGCAGCUGAUCCUAAUGCUCCCCCCUCCACACCUCAGUGUAUGGUUGGUAUAAGGGUUUGUAUCCUGGUAAGACACGUUUGUAACCCCCCCACACCCAAAAAAAAACACUCCGGGGGGGGGGGCUCAGGGGGGGCUCAGAACCCCCCCCCCCAGCCCCCCCCCCAACCCCGAGGGCGGCGGAGGAGUUUUGGGGAGGGGGGUUUUUUUUUUGGGGGGGGAGGACCCUCCGCUCGCAGCCGGGCGGCGCCGGGCUGGGGGCGGCAGGGUCGGUGACCCC